UGGGGGAUAUUGCACAAUGGGCGAAAGCCUGAUGCAGCGACGCCGCGUGGGGGAUGAAGGCUUUCGGGUUGUAAACCUCUUUCGCUAUCGAACAAGGCCCGCUUAGGGUGGGUUGAGGGUAGGUGGAGAAGAAGCGCCGGCUAACUACGUGCCAGCAGCCGCGGUAAUACGUAGGGCGCGAGCGUUGUCCGGAAUUAUUGGGCGUAAAGGGCUUGUAGGCGGCUUGUUGCGCCUGCUGUGAGAACGCGGGGCUUAACUUCGCGCGUGCAGUGGGUACGGGCAGGCUUGAGUGUGGUAGGGGUGACUGGAAUUCCAGGUGUAGCGGUGGAAUGCGCAGAUAUCUGGAGGAACACCGAUGGCGAAGGCAGGUCACUGGGCCAUUACUGACGCUGAGGAGCGAAAGCAUGGGUAGCGAACAGG
rnacentral:rRNA from 1 species